UACGUAGGGUGCGAGCGUUAAUCGGAAUUACUGGGCGUAAAGCGUGCGCAGGCGGUUUUGUAAGCCAGAUGUGAAAUCCCCGGGCUUAACCUGGGAAUGGCAUUUGGGACUGCAAGGCUCGAGUGCGGCAGAGGAGACUGGAAUUCCUGGUGUAGCAGUGAAAUGCGUAGAUAUCAGGAGGAAUACCGAUGGCGAAGGCAGGUCUCCGGGCUGACACUGACGCUCAUGCACGAAAGCGUGGGGAGCAAACAGG
rnacentral:rRNA from 1 species